rnacentral:rRNA from 1 species
UACAGAGGGGGCUAGCGUUAUUCGGAAUUAUUGGGCGUAAAGGGCGCGUAGGCGGCCAUGCGUGUCUUCCGUGAAAUCCCUCGGCUUAACUGAGGACGUGCGGAAGAAACUGCAAGGCUCGAGUCCGGGAGAGGGGGGUGGAAUUCCCAGUGUAGCGGUGAAAUGCGUAGAUAUUGGGAGGAACACCGGUGGCGAAGGCGGCCCCCUGGACCGGAACUGACGCUGAGGCGCGAAAGCGUGGGUAGCAAUCCGG